rnacentral:rRNA from 1 species
GAGACCUGCACUCAUAAUUGCUAGCGGGCUUUUUGAAGCGGCCGAGCACAUUAUGAGGACUGCCCUGGAAACAGGGAGGAAGGCGCAGACAACGGUAGGUCUGUAUGCUCCGAAUCUUCUGGGCGACACGCGCAUUACAAUGGCAGGUACAAUGGGAUACAACUCCGAAAGGAGAAGUUAAUCCUCGAAAUCCUGUCUCAGUUCGGAUUGAGGACUGUAACUCGUCCUCAUGAAGCCGGAAUUCGUAGUAAUCGGACUUCAACAUAGUCCGGUGAAUAC